rnacentral:rRNA from 1 species
UCAGUCGACUCCUACGGGGAGGCAGCAGUGGGGGAAUAUUGCACAAUGGGCGCAAGCCUGAUGCAGCCAUGCCGCGUGUAUGAAGAAGGCCUUCGGGUUGUAAAGUACUUUCAGCAGUGAGGAAGGUGGGUAUGGUUAAUAGCAUACUCAUUUGACGUUAGCUGCAGAAGAAAGCACCGGCUAACUCCGUGCCAGCAGCCGCGGUAAUACGGAGGGUGCGAGCGUUAAUCGGAAUUACUGGGCGUAAAGCGCAUGCAGGUGGUUUGUUAAGUCAGAUGUGAAAGCCCGGGGCUCAACCUCGGAAUUGCAUUUGAAACUGGCAAACUAGAGUACUGUAGAGGGGGGUAGGAAUUUCAGGUGUAGCGGUGAAAUGCGUAGAGAUCUGAAGGAAUACCGGUGGCGAAGGCGGCCCCCUGGACAGAUACUGACACUCAGAUGCGAAAGCGUGGGGAGCAAACAGGAUUAGAUACCCUGGUAG